UCAUGUGUUUCUACUGAGGCAGAAGUGGGCAUAUGAGAAUUGCUAGGGUGUGUAAUAACUUAGUACAGAUCAUCGGUCCUCAGGGCCACAGGGAAUUGGAUAUUAGAAUCUUAUUUUAAAGGAAAACACUUUUUCUUCUUCAAGCUCCUUCCUUCUUGUCAAGGUUAAAUAACUUUCUCUUCUGGCAUCUUUGUAGAGCCUUGUGAAAGAAAGCUAAGAACUGGAUAUGUGCCAGCAGCUUGCCAGAGUUGGAAGAAUAAGUUGGGAGACAGAUAGAUUUCUCCAAAGUUGCUACAAACUCACCUUUUUGGAGCCUCAACCAUCUCAUCAUCAUAAUGUGAACAAUGAUAUAUAGCUUGCAGAGCCAUUAUAAGAAUCACAAGAUCAUCACAGACAAUUCCAGAGAAGUGGUUUUACACGAGCCAGAUGAUGUUGUGCACUGCCCACAUCUCCUAGGAUUUCUUUUACUGGUUUGAUGAGCCCACAUCUUCAACCUUUUCCAGCAAGUUCUUGGGAGACUGGAUCUGCCUUCCCACCCCAAGGAGGUAGGCCUACUGAGCCAUCUACUAUUUGUAAUUUGCUACCUAUGCAUCUGGAACUGUGCUGUGAGUCAGAAGAAUCCAGAGAAACAGAAGAAAUAAUUAACUUAUGCAACAAGAUUUGAAAAAAACCUUUCCCUGUUGUCUUAGAAUUUCACCUAAAUCAUCAAAUCUGAGGACAAUGAAUGACAGAUGCCUUCAACUUCUGAAGAGAAGCCCUAGACACACUAGAAAGAGAGACCAGGGGA